UACGGGGGGGGCAAGCGUUGUUCGGAAUUACUGGGCGUAAAGGGUGCGUAGGCGGUCUGUUAAGUUGGAUGUGAAAACUCUGGGCUCAACCCAGAGCCUGCAUCCAAAACUGGCAGGCUAGAGUUCUGGAGGGGGUAGCGGAAUUCCUGGUGUAGCGGUGAAAUGCGUAGAUAUCGUUUGGAACGCCAAUGGUGAAAACAGGUUGCUGGGGGUGUGCUGACGCUGAGACACGAAAGCCAGGGGAGCAAACGGG
rnacentral:rRNA from 1 species